UAUCCGAAUUACUGGGCGUAAAGCGCACGUAGGUGGUUUGUUAAGUCAGAUGUGAAAUCCCCGGGCUCAACCUGGGAACUGCAUUUGAAACUGGCAAGCUAGAGUAUGGUAGAGGGGGGUGGAAUUCCAGGUGUAGCGGUGAAAUGCGUAGAUAUCUGGAGGAACACCGGUGGCGAAGGCGACCCCCUGGACUCAUACUGACGCUGAGGUGCGAAAGCAUGGGGAGCAAACAGGAUUAAA
rnacentral:rRNA from 1 species